UCCGGAAUCAUUGGGUUUAAAGGGUCCGUAGGCGGGCGAUUAAGUCAGUGGUGAAAGUCUGUAGCUCAACUAUAGAAUUGCCUUUGAUACUGAUUGUCUUGAGUUAUAGUGAAGUUGCCGGAAUAUGUAGUGUAGCGGUGAAAUGCAUAGAUAUUACUUAGAAUACCAAUUGCGAAGGCAGAUCACUAAUAAUAUAUUGACGCUGAUGGACGAAAGCGUGGGGAGCGAACAGGUUUAGAUACCCUGG
rnacentral:rRNA from 1 species